AAAUUUGAUAGUAACGAAAAAUCUAUAUUGUGUAUUAUUUUGAAAUUCAUAUGAUAUUUUGCAUUUUUUGGAUCUGAAGAAUAAAGUUGUAAAAAUAGACGAGUUUGAGGAUUUUUUUGCAUAAAACCCUUUUAAAAAGUAGAGUUUAGAUGGUUUUAAGGUGUUAAACUUAAAACAUGUGUAAACUUUAGAAUCCGUGGACGAGGCAUACACCGCUUUACUAUAGGACGUGUUAAUAUAUUUUUAACUUUUAAGUACAAAAGAAAAUAAGUGUCGUGGAUUAGUUAAUCGAUGUAGUAGAGUAUUGCGAGUUUGAUUGUGUGUUUUGCAGGGUUUUGAUAGAGGUAAAUAAAAAAUCUGUUAAACAUACAAAAGUUAGAAGUAAUAUAGUUAACCUACGAAAAGAUUGUAACUAAAUAAACAUAUUACUAUAAAUUAUACAACAUAUAACAAAUAGAAAGAUUACUUCGAUAAACCUAAAUAGAGCAAAAUUUUCUACCGCUUACUUUUCGUACAAUUUUUGAACUUUAACAUGGACAAUGUCUAAGCAAAAUUUUGUUUUGUUUAAUUGUUUUUGUUGAAAAGAUGUAAAUAAAAAUUGCAUGCCCAAAACUCGUCUACAAAAUCAAAGCAAUUUUUUUUUACUUUUGCCCAUCAAAGAGCAUAGUAAUGUAUCAAACUUAUUUUUAUAUAUAGAUAUAAAGAUUUAAUGGGUAAAUUGCUUUAGAGAUCGUGUGUGUGAAGAAGCAAUAAUCAUAUAUUAUUUUAAUCAUCUUACGAAGAGUUAAGUGUCAGGGAAGAAGUUUGUUCUCAUUCGCUCAAAAUUGGAAACACUUAUGUUGGUUAUGUUAGUUAUGAUUUUUUGAGGGAUAUAUUGCUUAGAUUUCGAAACGAAUUGGGUGAAGUUAUUGAGUAAAUCGUUUAGCUAGAUUAGUUCGUAUCAUGUAUUGAUUUUAAUUUGUUUAUGUAAUCUCUUCUCAUCAUUAUUGGGUAGCAAAAAUAAAGCUUUUCUUUUAAAAACAACAACUUCUGGCUACAAACAAAAUGUCAAUAUCCAAUUAACAAAAUUAUCUAAAACUAAACUGAAAAUUGUAAAU
rnacentral:sRNA from 1 species